ensembl:lncRNA
UGGCAGGAGAUUUAUGCUACCUGACCAGCAUGCCUUGAGGAAAAAAAAUGUAUUAAAUGCUAGCAGAGAAGGAAAAAACCUGUCAAAAAUUGUGCUUUAUUAAAAUGCCAACAUUUGAUCAGAGCCAGCUAGACGAGGCUUGUGGUGGAUUCUGGGAGCUGAACUUACAGGAAAGUUUUGUUCUAUUAACAAGUAGAACAGAAUGAACUUUUCAACCUAGUGGGUAAAGAGCUAGUUUCCAUGGGCCUAAUUCUGUAAGCAAAACAAAUGAGCACUAAGAAAGAGCAGGCAAACUUUUAAGAGAUGGCUUUAGGGGAGGUGUUUUCUCAUAGCAGAAGCCAGAUGAAUGAAAUCAGAAUCCUUCUGGUCUUCCAAGUCUUCUCUUGGGCAUUGAACAUCUGACUUGGAAGAUGGGAAAAGGAGAAAUCAGAACUUGUGAAUUACAUCUGCAAAAACAAUGUUGAAGACUGUCUGAAAACUGACACAUACAGGAAGUGUUUUCCUGCAGGUCGCAGAGGAGUGUUGAGCAGUUUCUUACUGUGCUGAGUAAAAUCCAAGGGAAACCCUUAAUGAGAACAAGCGUUCCUGUUUUUGUCUGGAGGAUCAUUACUCCUCUUUUGUAUUUUGUGCUUGCCAAGAAGUACUUGUGCGAUGAAAGUGGUUUGUUGUUUUAUACUGAUGGUUUGGGCGUGGGAUGUGGGAAUUCCUGCAUCUAGGUUCUGGGGACCAGAAAAUCCAACUCAGCUCGCUGCUGUGGGAGAGAUCUUAAUGGGACCAUGAAAGAUCAGCAGAUGUUUAAACAACGAUAUCUACAGGAUGAAUGUUUGUAAGUGAUAUGAACCUUCCUUUUACAAGCACGCUGACAUUUUGUAGACUGCAAUGAGGAAAGAGCUGUGAGGAAAAUGGAACUUCUGGGAAUUGCAACAUUUUCAGACCUUGUGGUGUUUCUAAUCAGAACGAAAAGCCAGAACUUCUCACUGAAAGAAAAUUCUGUGGAUAGGAGCCCUGGGGAUAGCUGAUUUGUGGCAAUGGAAACAUUUUGUGCCUUUGUAUUCCAAAUAAUGUGCUCAUAGUGCAAACAGCAACGCUAAUAUUUUUAAGUUGAAGAAAUUCAGGUGAAAAUUCGAAGUACAGCACUUAUGUCACAAGACCAAAACCACAAGCAUGCUCAACUCGCAUCAAGAGUUCUUUUGAUCUGAUGUGACACGAUUUAGAGAUGGGCUUUUCCAAAGAUAGAUUUAGCCAGAUGUGGAAAAUAAGCUGCAUUGUCUGAGGUAGCACUGAGCUGCAUUUGUCUAUCACUCUGGAAUUUAAAACGAGGAUAAGUGUCCUGUGCUUUGGAUAAGAGUAAGAAAAUAGGGAGAAACUCAGCAUAGUUCUAUUUCAAUACCUCUGCCAUUAUUUCAUAGUAUAGGGAAAGUUGCAGUUUAUAAACUUCCCGAGCUGGAGAUGAUCUCCCGUUUGCUGAGGGCUUUUUUUUUUUUUUUUUUUAAGUUUUAUUACCAGAUAUUUCUUUUGUGACUUUGUCUACUGGUUUGUUAAGUUUAUCAUUUUGGCAUCUUAAAUAUUUUGUAUUGACUAGUUCUAUAAUUUAGCUUUGUUGAGUGAAAUAGUAAUUUUUGGGUUAAACUUGAUGCUCAAUCGUUCUCUUGGAGGUCCCUUAGCUCUUCUAUUUGAAAGUUAGCAGAUAAACAUUUCCUUUUGCCUGUUUCAUGCCAGUCAUGACUUAAUAGGCCUUAGCUUUCUUAGUGAUUUCUUUCCCAAGCUGUAAGGUUCUGAUUAAUUUAAAUGCUUCUCACUCAAACGCAGUAUCAAAUUGCUGAUUUGUCCUCUUUGUACUUUUCCUAGUUCUGCUGUACUCUUCCUGACAAUGUGGUGAAUAGGAUCGUAUGCAUUAUUGUAGAUGUUGCUGCAAGACUAAUUAAGACAAGCAACAAUUUAUUUUGAUUUUUCUCUUCUUAAUAAUGAUUAAUGUUCUAUAAGCAUGUUAGAUAAUAUUGUUUAGUGAGCUACUGUUGCUAGAGAAGGAAACGAAGCAAGUCCAGGAUCUCUCUUCUCUGGUGAGCCUUCUGAUGAGAAUAGCCUACUAGAAAUCACUAUUUUACAUACAUAGAAGAAGGUUUUUUUGUCAUUUAAGUUUCUCAGUACUGAAUACAACCUACUAGUUUUCCUUCUGGUUGCUGGGUAUAUUCAAGUUCUUCCACAGUUUGCAAUUUGAUUUAUGUUGGACCUUUCUAUAUUUUUAAUAGAAUUUAUCCAUGUUCUGUGGAAUAUUUGUCAGGUCCUGUGAUUUGGCAACGCUGACCGAUGCUCUGUCAAAAUUUGCUGAUGAUGCUGUUGGUGUUGUAGAGACCAGCAUCACCUGCAAGAAUAUCCAGAUGACCCUUUUGAGAAUGCUAUUUUAAUGCCAGUCAAAUUGAAUUAACUGUUGCCCUUCCUGGAGCAAGGCUGAGCAGCACCAUGCACUGUGUGCAGAGUUGGCUGCAAGCUGCAUUGUCCUGCUUUCACGUCACACCAUCUCUUAUGCUCGAAUCCACUUCCAAAUUUAGCCACACAGAUGAAGAAAUGAAUUGCAGGCACAGAUCAUUCCUGGCUCGGCCGGCAGAUGGCAAUUCCUGCUCUCACUAUCUCUAAUUAGGUAAAGGGACAUUUAGACGGCAUUUAAAGCUUACAGAGCAGGAGUUUCUAGCAGGUGAGCUCCAUAACACCACAGUGAGUGUAGAAGCACAUCUGAAGACUGAGCUCAGCUUUCGUGUCACCUACUGACAGAUGAUCAAUGCUUCUGAGCCCGUGAAGUAACUGCUGUUAUGUAUCAAAUGGAAAGCACUUAACACUCUUCUAAUCUACACACUCAGCACUUAACUUUGUUAUGCCUCUGGAACUGCUGGAACAUGCAGUGCAGGACCUCCUGAUCCCUGUCUAAAGAUAGUGUAAAAUCUACAUUGUUUCUGGAAUGCUUCCUCUCACAUCGGCGUGUCCUGCUAUGCAUCAGUGUGGAUAGCUGAAAUGGAAGAAAAUUUUAAUGGUGGUGCUCUGUGUGCUGAAUUAUCAAGCGGCUGACGAGUUCUUAAAGGCUUAGAAGAUGAAGAAAGUAGAAGCGUUGAAGAUUCCUAGUGGAAAGUUUUAGAUGAAGUUUAAUUUAAUAUGAAAUAUGACUACGUCUUAAUUAAAAUGAUCUUCAUUUUACCCUAGUAAGAGGGAGACUUAGACUAAAAAAAAAAAGAAUGUUUUACAUUGUAACUAAAGUAAAAGACACUGCAUGGUGCCUAAAGUAAGGAUUACCCCAUACACCUAGUAAGGAUGGACUUCCUAGCAUAACUAGAAAGUGCAGGAUCUAUGUGUGUGUUAACUUUUGGGAAAGCAGUUCUAUAUUCCUUUCUUUAAAGCCUAUUUUUCCCAUGUUACUAGAUUGGGGAUGGAUUGUGAGUUAAAUAUCUGACAAAGGGAGAAAGUUGAACCAUAGAGCGUACGUAAAUUUUGUUCUGAAUUGACCUGCAACUGACCGGACUUCUUGAUGUGGCA